ensembl:lncRNA
AAGGGAAAGAAGGAAGUCGUUCCCUUAUCUCUUCCUCCUGGUCUCUGCUCUGAAGUUGCCAUGUGAUCCACUGGCAAGAGAAGGCACUAGCAAAAGGCAUCCUCUAUAAGAUAAGUCUUAUAAAAUAUAUAGAUUUAUGAUAAUUAGGACUGAGCUAGCAGAUGAGAAAUUCUAGUCAUUGGCCAAGCAGCAUUUGUACCUAAUAUAAGUAUCUGUGUGUUACUUGGGACCUUAACAUGGUGGUGGACAGAACUUGGGUGGCCUGGCAGAAAGCGCCCACAUGGCGGCAGGGCUCAGGCGGUUGGAAUAAAGACUUAUUGUUACAGCCAUUGUCCUAGUUAGGGCUUCUAUUACAGUGAAGAGACACCAUGACCAUGGCAACUCUUAUAAAGGAAAACAUUUAACUGGGACUGGCUUACAGUUUCAGAGGCUUAGACCAUUGUCUGUAGGGAGCCGUCCCUGCAUUCUCCAUUACAAGAUGGCGCCUGCAUCCGGCAGGCACCAAAUGUAAACAAGUUAAUGCGCGCAGGUGCUGGGUAACUUUCCAUUCCUUGAUCUCUGCCUCUUCCGUGGCUUCAUAUGGUCCGAUGAGCUGCAGCCAAUCAUGGGGUGACACAUCCAAGGCGGCGGUUGCCAGCCUUUAUUAGGGGACGGGAUUCUUGGCUCAGGGUCUCCGCUUUUGUAAGCUUAUGCUCUCUCUCAAGACGCAUAAAGCUUUACUGCAGAAGGAUCCGAGUGUCCUGUGUUGUUCUUGCCGGCAAGAUGAUCACACGGGACAAUUGUCAUGGCCGGAAGCAUAGUAGCAUGCAGGCAGAUGUGGUGCUGGAGAAGGAGCCAUCCAGAUUGACAAGAGUUCUACAUCCAGAUUGACAAACAGCAGGGAGAGAGCAUGACACUGGGCCUGGCUUGAGCAUCUGAGACCUUAAAGUGACACACAUCCUCCAUCGAAGCCACACCUACUCCAACAGGACACACCCCCUAGUAGUGCCACUCCCCAUGGGCCUAUGGGGGCUGUUUUCAUUCAAAGCACCACAGACAUUUUUAUUUAGAUGACAUGGCACUGACAUGGCUAUCCAGUAUGAGUCAUCUAAGACUUGGCUGACACCUGACAUUCAAGGGAUUGUAUGAAUCAGCACAAAAUGACUGACGCUGAAUGUCAGGGAACUCCAAAGUAAACAGUGAUUGGUGUGAGCUCUUAUGUAACUAAUUUUGACGGAGUACCACUUUUGAGUAGUUAGGUAUAAAUACAGCGCUGAAGUCAGAAGCCUGGACCUGCAUCUCUCCUCUCUCUCUCUCUCUCUCUCUCUCUCUCUCUCUCUCUCUCUCUCUCUCUCUCUCCCUCCUCUCUCUCUCUCUCUCUCUCUCUCUUUCUCUCUCUUUGUGUGUGUGUGUGUGUGUGUGUGUGUGUGUGUGUGUGCAGGUUUGUGUACAAGCAAAUGUGUGCUGGAUUAUGCCUGAGUGCCUGCUGUCAGCUGCUUGCCUAGUGAUUUAUGUGGCAGCAUUAGGCCAGAGUGAAUAAAGUGUGUCUUAUCUACUGGUACCUCCUCAUAAUCCCUUCAACCUCCCAUGAUCCUCCUCUUCUCCUGACGCUGGAGCAUUGUCCCGGGUGAACAAAGCCCUGGUUAUUAGUAAGGACACAGACAUCAUUGUAUCCUUAAACACAGCUUUACAUCUCUAAUUUGUUUGUCUGUGUGUUGAUCUUAAGAUGUCUCCUUCAUCCUGGUGAGGGCUGAACUCUAUCGAGUCCUACUGGUGUCAUAAGAAACCCUUCCCAUGGUUCAGUCCACCUCUCUAUAAGUUGAUCUGGGCAUCUACUGUUCAGGUUUUCAGAAGCACCCAGUCAUACACUUGAAGCAGUGUCUAGAAGAUGUAAGGACCAAAUCUCACAUAAUCAGAUAUUGUAGACAGGUUUAAAAUCUGUCCUGAUAGUGUAUAUAACCUUUCAUUUUUUUUUUAAAUUUAUUUAUUGGUUCCAGUUAGGGAACAAGCUUGUUUCACAUGUAAGUCCCUUCUCCCUCUCCCUCCCCUCACCCCCAUCCCUCCUCCCCCACCCUCAACGGGGGCUCUGCAAAGUCCACCAAAUCUUCCUGUGCUGUCCUGGGCCCUUCCCCAUGUGUCCAGGGCCAGAGUGUAACCCUUCAUAUGGGAUGGGCUCUCAAAGUCCCUUCUUGCACCAGGGAAAAAUACUAAUCCACCACCAGAGGCUCCCUGGAGUGCAGAGGCCUCCUUAUUGACAUCCAUGUUCAGGGAUCUGGAUCAGUCUUGUACUGGCCUCCCAGACAGCAUCUGGGGUCGAUGUGCUCUCCCUUGUUCAGGCCAACUGUUCCUGUGGGUUUCUCCAACCUGGUACAGACCUCUUCGCUCUUCAUUUCUCCCUCUCUUCAACUAAAUUCCCGAUUUCAGCUCAGUGUGUAUCUGUGGAUGUCUGUCUCUGCUUCCAUCAGCCACUGGAUGAGGACUCUAGGAUGGCAUAAAGAGAAGUCAUCAAUCUCAUUUUAGGGGAAGGGCUUUUAGGUUAUCCUCUCCACCAUUGCCUGGAUUGUCAGAUCGUGUCAUCCUUGUAGGUCUCUGGAGAUCUCCCUGGUUCCAGAUCUCUUCUCGGACCUAUAGUGGCUCCCUCUGAUAUGGUAUCUCUCAUCCUGCUCUCUCUCCUCUAUUCUUCCCCAACUCAAUAUUUCUGCUCCUCCAUUUCCUCUCCUCUACUCCUCUUUUCUUGCUCUUAUUGUAGCAGCUCCCUCCCCCCUACCCUCAUGCUCCCAAUUAGUUCAGGAGUUCAUGCCACUUCCAUUCCUGGGGACCAUUUAUCCCUUAGAGUCCUUCAUGUUUCCUAGUUUCUUUGGUGAAGAGGAUUAUAGGCUGGUAAUCCUUUGCUCUAUGUCUAAAAUUCAUAUAUGAGUGAGUACAUACCAUGUUUGUCUUUUUGUGACUGGGUUACCUCACUCAGGAUAUAACCUUUCAUUUUUAAGAUUUAUUUUUAUUUAUGUGGAUAUGUGCAUGGAUUGGUUGCCUUUCUGUGGCUAUGAUAAACACCAUGACCAAGACAACUGACAACAGGAAGGUUUUAGAUAGGCUUUUAGUUCCAGAGGUCUGAGCCCAUUACUACAUGGUGCAGAGGCAUGGUAGCAGGCAGCCAUUGUGGCUAGAGUGGCAUGCUGAGAGCUCACAUUUGGAAUUGAAAACAAGAAGCAGAGAGGACAAACUGGAAAAUGGCAUGAGUUUUUAAAUCUCAAAGCCUGCCUCCAGUGACAUACUUCUUCCAACAAGGCCACACCCCUAAACCUUCCCAAACACACCACCAACUGAGAACCAGUGUUCAAAUGCAGGAGCCGAAAUGGUUUGGAGGUACAUGACUCACUCUACACGGGGGAGGCAGGUGCAGGCUGAACACUGUGAACUCAAAGCCAGCCUGGGCUACAUAGUGACUUCCAGGCCAGAAAAGGUCAUGAACACAUGGACCUCCUGUAGAACCUAACACCUACACUGCACACUGUUUAUCCUUGCUUCUGGAAAAAGAAAGCAAGUGAGUCCUAGAAACCAUCCCCAAGUCCUUACAGACUGGGUGAUGAGAUAAUGACUCUGCCAGGCUGGCACGUGGUCCAUCUGGAAGAUAGCAGUGAGACAACCCCUUCCUGCACCAAGGAAAAGGAAAUGCUUUGCUUAUAAAGUUUAAGCACUUCGGAGAGAUGGCUCAGAGGUUAAGAUCAGUGACUUCUCUUCCAGAGUUUCUGAGUUCAAUUCCCAGCAUCCACAUGGUGGCUUAUAACCAUCUGUAAUGAGACCUGGUAUCCUCUUCUGGCAUGUAGGCAUAAAUGCAGGCAGAACACUAUAUACAUAAUAAAUAAAUAUUUAAAAAAAUAAAAAAUAAAGUUUAAGCACUUCACUAAAGAAGUGAAUUUUGAGUGCUUUAUCAAUCUUCAACUUAAAAAUCAUAGACACUGUACAUCAAUUAUAUAUGGGCAGUACAAGAAGUUCUUAUUGUUUUUUAAAAAGAACAUGAUGUUGGAGGUUAGAGAAAGGGCCGCAGGACUGGUAAGAUAUAAGAAGUGGCACUAGGGUCAAAGCACGCACUAAAUUCUCAAAGAACCAGCAAAUAGUUUUCAAGUUAAAACUUCUAGUAUAGCAAUGUGACUUAUUAGCUAGUGCUCUUGUUUCAAGGCAAUGUGUCUGACAGAACAAUUCAGUAGUGUGUUUCAGCCAGUAGUUUCUAGGGAUACAGCCCAUGGGGAGGGAAUGCAUGCAUGGAGCUGAUGUGCUCUGCUCACAACGACACAGUAAAGCACAUGGCCACCUGGGACUCCUGGGUGGACUGUUGGACUAAUCGGGCUACUGGCAACCUGAGAUUCCUACCUGCACUAAGCUUCAUGUUCAUUGGACACUAAGCAAUGGAAUGAGUUUUUCUGCCCUAACUAUUAGCAAUUCCUUUUCGGUAGACAAUUCCUAUUUAAACCGUUCCAUUUUCUGUCCAGGCGUGAGACUGAAAAGGCCAAUCCAGCCAGCACUAAUUGAAUGCACAGGGAGACAACAGUCCUCUGAGUGUCCACGUCCUGAGAAUUGACUAGUUACUAACUGAUGCAUGACGUCACGUGUACUCAUGGUAGAGACUUGUGCAGUGAGGAAUGGCUCGCCAAAGCCAAUCAGAUGUCAGUCAGAGAAUCAGCUGUGUGAGUCCUCUUAGCAAGCAAACUCCUCCUUCUUUCGAAUCCCACAAAGGGGAGUUCCGGAGGACAAUCAGGACUCCAGUAUUCUCUCACUCAAGUGGCACACUGUCUUGCUAGUUUAUUAGCUCUUCACUGUCACUUUGAUUUGGAGUAGUUUCCUUGUCACUUUGCAAUUGUUAUGUUCCCUGGGCCACGCAUUGGUGGCACACGCCUUUAAUCCCAACACUCGGAAGGCAGAGGCAGGCAGAUCUCUGUGAUGUAAGUUUGAGGCCAGCCUGGUCUCCAGAGCGAGUGCCAGCAUAGGCUCCAAAGCUACACAGUGAAACCCUGUCUCGAAAAAAAGAAAAAGAAAAAGAAAAAAGAAAAGAAAAGUUCUCUGAAUAAGAUGUAAGAACCUACAAGCACAAGGACUGUUGGUCCAGUCUUGGGAACAGGACCAACAGUAUGUUUGCAGUCUCAGAGCAAGUAGAUUAAAGCUGCUGCUUGGGCGAUUUCUGGGUUUCUCCAUUUUAUUAAAAUAUUUUCUCUUUCUUUUCUUUUUUAUUUUGUUUUGUUUGUUUUUGGUUUUUUGUGUGACAGGGAUUCUUUGUGUUGCCCUGGUCAUCCUGUGAAUUUCUCUGAACCCCAAGCUGGCUUUUAUACCAGAGAUCUGCAUGCUAGCAGAGUGCACCAGAUCUCAUUCAAGGUGGUUGUGAGCCACCAUGUGGUUGCUGGGAAUUGAACCCCAGUCCUCUGAAAGAACAGUCAGUGCUCUCAAUUACUGAUCCAUCUCUUCAGCCCCACACCCUGUUUCUUGCACUCUUUUUCAGCUAAAAUUUUCCUCUUCUUUAUUUUGAGAGAAAAGAGGACUGCUCUGUGUAGUCCUAACUGUCCUGGAGCUCUCUGUGUAGACCACGUGCUGGUUUGAACUCGCAGAGAUCUUCCUGUCUCUGCCUCCUGUGUGCUGGGAUUAAAAACAUGCACCACCACCGCUUGGCUAAAAUAUAUUUUAGGAGAAUAUAUUUUCGUCAUAUUCUUUCCUCUCUUUUUAUUCCAUCUGGAACAUGCAUCAAUGGGAUUGUGUACCCAAGUUCAAAGGGACUCUUCCCUCCUUGUUUGAGCAUUUCUGGAAACAUCCAUGCAUCUACACCUCAGUAUGUGUAUAUGAGUGCUUGCUGGAUAAAAAGUAUGAAUGUCUACAGAGACUGGAGACACAGCUCCGGUGAAGAGCACACAUUCCUGCAGAAGAACGAACGUAACACACUUCAUUACAUGCCUGGAGAUGCACAUCUGCCUGCAACUUCAUCUCCAGGACGUCUGAUGCCCUAGUUUGGCUUCAAUAGGCACAUGCACUCUCAUGUGAAAACACACAUACAUACACGCAAUUAGCUGCCACAGGGAGAACACUGAAAUUGCUCCUAUUUAUUGAAUUGUGUUGUACUUACUGUAUUAUUAAAUAUACUCACCAUCUUCCUGAAAAUAGCUUAGGCUUUCCUAGGAAUAAACAGGAACAUAUCUUUUCAUAGAAUAAACAUUUCUCUCAGAAUUCUGGAUUUAAUAUUUUUCAUCAUUUCAAAUGUCAGAACUUGUGUGUUUCACAUUUCUCUAAAAAAAUAUUAGGAGGACACUACCAGGACAUUCACUAAGGACAGCUCACAGGGUUGCAGUAACACAGCCAAGGCUUCAGAAUCCCUGAGCAAUUCUACUGACUUUGGUGAUAUGAGGCUGCCAGGCAUGACGACAGUGGCUGUCAAUGUGCGAGGAGCUGUCCAAUGGAUAAGGUCGCAUCUCAUCCUCUUCAUGAAGAGGGAACCCAGAUGCAGUAACUACCUUUGACCAGCAGGUGAUGGCAGCGUUCAGCUACUUGGUGCAGCGUUUGGCAGAGAUGCUCCCCACCUCCUGACCUACUCAACUCCAAAAGUUCAUGUGAUUUUACAGCAUUCAUCAAAUCACAGUAUUGUAGACAUGAAGAAUGAAGAAACUUACUUCAGGAAUUAAGAAGAUAGCAGUUAUGGGUUGGCAAUUGUGGCUAUGAUUGUAGACAUAAAAAUGUCCUAAUCUUAAUUCUAUUGGUUUUUAAUUAACAACUUUCUC